UACAGAGGGUGCGAGCGUUAAUCGGAAUUACUGGGCGUAAAGCGCGCGUAGGCGGUUUGUUAAGUCGGGAUGUGAAAUCCCUCGGCUCAACUGAGGAAGUGCAUCCGAAACUGGCAAGCUUGAGUACGAAAGAGGGUCGCGGAAUUCCCGGUGUAGAGGUGAAAUUCGUAGAUAUCGGGAGGAACACCGGUGGCGAAGGCGGGGUCUCUGGGCCGAUACUGACGCUGAGGAGCGAAAGCGUGGGGGAGCGAACAGG
rnacentral:rRNA from 1 species